GCGCAGGGAGUCGGGACCCGGGCCGCCACCGUCACCUCGGCCGCGGCCGCCGCCAUCACCUUGUUUCCCCGUUCCCCGCCAUGGCCGAGGAACUCUCUGCGGCCACGUCCUACACCGAAAAUGAUUUCUACUGCCCCAUCUGUCAGGAGGUGCUCAAGACACCGGUGCGGACUGCGGCCUGUCAGCACGUUUUCUGUAGAAAAUGUUUCCUGACAGCAAUGAGAGAAAGUGGAAUACACUGUCCCUUGUGUCGUGGAAAUGUGACUAGAAGAGAGAGAGCAUGUCCUGAACGGGCCUUAGACCUUGAAGAUAUCAUGAGAAAGUUUUCUGGUAGCUGCAGAUGCUGUGCAAAACAGAUUAAAUUCUAUCGCAUGAGACAUCAUUACAAAUCUUGUAAGAAGUAUCAGGAUGAAUAUGGCGUUUCUUCUAUCAUUCCAAACUUUCAGAUCUCUCAAGAUUCGGUAGGGAACAGUAAUAGAAGUGAAACAUCCACAUCUGAUAACACAGAAAGUUACCAAGAGAAUACAAGUUCUGGGCAUCCCACCUUUAAGUGUCCCCUGUGUCAAGAAUCAAAUUUUACCAGACAGCGUUUACUGGAUCACUGUAACAGUAAUCACCUAUUUCAGAUAGUUCCUGUGACAUGUCCUAUUUGUGUGUCUCUUCCUUGGGGAGAUCCUAGCCAGAUUACUAGAAAUUUUGUUAGUCAUCUAAAUCAAAGACAUCGGUUUGAUUAUGGAGAAUUCGUGAAUCUUCAACUAGAUUAGGAAACCCAGUAUCAAACUGCUGUUGAAGAAUCUUUUCAAGUAAACAUCUGAAGGCUGUUAUACAUCUCCACAUCUUUGCCAUCUUUAAGGGGAAAACUACAUGAAGUCACUGUUUCAAUAACUUGAUGUGUAUAUUAAUAAAAGUAAUUCAGUCUAUUGUUAUAGUCUUUUGAUUGAAAAAUAAAGGUAGGCCAUCUAAAAACUUCAUCGUCUUGAUAAGUUAAAAAUGAAAGUUAUGACAUUAGCUUUAAAAGCAAAAAUGGAUUAUAUUUCACUAAUGUAAUGGUGAAAAGGGAAACCCUGUUGUACUUUUUCUUUUUUUAUAUUACAUAUUCUUGAAUUUUUCAUUAUGUUGCUUUUGAAAUUUGGUACAUUUCCUCUCAUUUACUUUAUUGUACACAGAUAACACACAGUAGCAAAUUCUGAAAGAUGUGAUUGAUAUAAACCUAACAAAUCUGAGCCAAUUGUCAGAGUCACAGAAUAGAAACUUGAAGUACUAAAUGG